GAGAGAGGCGGGGUGUAUGUGUGUGUGUGCGUUCUCGUUUGGCCCGGAAGAAUGAGUAACCAGGGGCAACUGUGGCAAGCGGCGUUUUUUUCUCUUCUGAGGUUGUCGCGUCUCGCGAACUUUGCGCACAACGCCACCCACCCACCCAACCAUCCCAUAGAGAGCAAAGAAAAAGCGGUCCCCGAUGACAGCGACGAGCAACUGGUGGACUCGGACGAGGCCGCACUGAGUUUUAGCAGUCUCGUGGCUGUGUGUGUGUGUGGUUUUUUUUUCCGUGUGACAUUGUUUUAAAAUCAUCGAUUAGGCGGAUCUGGACGCCAGUGGCACUCUCCCGUCAGCCUCUGUUGACUCGGCUCUGAGUUGCGCGUUCUUCACAGGCACAGCGGGUGCAAUGGAUGACGCGGGGGCGACGGACGGCAGCGACUUGGGAAUGAACGACACGGACGAACUCCUGGAUGCAGGGCUGGACGUGGGGACACCCCGGGGAGUGAUGAAGGAUCAGUGCGACCUCCUGCUGGACUCCAUCGACGCUGUGCUGCGGGGCCUGCAGAGUGGAAGCCCAAACAAGAAGGAGGAGGAGGAGACGGCAGUGCAGACGCAGAAGACGAGCUUCGACUCGGCAGAGACGGCAGGCAGCGCCGGCCAGAGUGACACGGGGAGCCGCGACACGGGCCUGGGGGGUGGGGGCAGCACCCCAGACGACACGCUGACCUCUGACCCCGACAGAGCUGGCACCCGGAGCAAAGGACAAAUAGAGAUUGUGGAAGUGGGUGAAGAGCGGUAUGCAGGCUGCAAGCGGGCUUGUGAUUCUGCAGCUUUUUCCCAAAUGUGGGCCCAAACAGGGGAGGCGGUGGCAGGAAUACAGGACCCAGUGCGGGCCGCCCGGACCGAGGAGUACACAUGGAGGGUGCAGCAGCUGCUGGGAAUUCCCAACAGACAGGCGGACGGUGGCGCCGGCGCCGUCUCACGCUCGCCCUCGCCGUCCCUGCAAGACGGUGCUCACAGCGAUGGCCCCUACGCCUCCUCGGUUUGCACGGAGGAGCUGAUCCGGCCCCGUGGAGGCGCUCGAUCCUCGGCCGUGCCCGUCGGAGACGAGCUCGCCGAGCCACCGCCGGAUUCGGGGGCGGCCGCGGACUCGGGCGACGUCCGUCGCCGCGACAUCUCGCGUCGGAGUAGAGACGGAGAGAUGAGCGCGUCACGGGCCGACGCUCGCAGGGGCAUGACGUUUGUUGAGAAGUUCAGGCACGACCUCGCGAGCGAUCUCGAGGAGGUGAUCGUUCGUGAGAGGGAAGGUAUGACGAAGCAGAGCUCCCCCGCUAUUGUGAAAGAGAAGGGCUCGUCCCAAGCGGCGGGAGUAAAACUGCCUGACGAUUAUCACCCGGAGAGAAGGAACUCGCUGGGAAGCCAGAUUCGGGCCAAAAGCCGCAGCAACCUCUCCUCGUCGGAGGCUCCUGGUCCUCCCGUUGAAUCGAGCAGUGACGGGCGGUGGAGUUCGCAGACUGCCGUGAGCAACCUCUCCACGGUGGAGAUGCACAGCAAAGAGGGCAGCGAAGAUGCGCAGCAUUUUUCAAAAUCGCCAGAAGGUUUGACGGCUGGCAGCCGAUGCACGCCUCUGAUGGUAAAUGCGCCGGUUUCUUCCCCGAAUCGAAACAGAGACAAAGACAGCAGUAUGUUAGCAUCUACAAAUCCACACGCCACGCCCACGAUUCCAUCCGCCAUGCACGAUGCGGUGAGUGGCACGAAGCCGACCGGCCACAGCUUCGCCAUGGACCAGCAGGGCCGACACGGCCUUACUGGCAGAGGCAGCACUCCCAUGCCGAACCUUCCCUCCCCGACUGCCAGAACAAAAUUGGGCCAGCUCACCGACACUCGACUUGAGGUCACGGCCUCUUCUUCGCCAUCCCAAAAGGAGCCGGAUUUCUCGCGCAUCCUUUCUGGCGUCGCCGGCUGUGGCAGGGGCCCACCGAGCCGGGCGUCUGCUCCGUGGGAGGAUGGUGCUCAGGGAGGCCGGCCCGGAUUUGGCGAGCGUCGGACGACGGCGAUGGCUGCCGAGAAAACGUCGGUGCCGGGGGCUUCCUGGGAGAGCUGGGAGGCCCAGUUGUCUCGUGGGAGCGACAAGGAGAUGGCCGGUAGCCUGCCCCGCAUGCUCGCUGGAGUUCCCUUGCGCAGCUUCGACGAAGUGACGGUGGAGAGCGACCUGGAGUCUGUCCGCACCGAGCACGUGCGCUCCCUCUUCAGUCACGCCCUGCACAGGGACGGUGACGAGCGCGGGGAGGUCUCGACGAACGACGAGCUGUCCUCGGACGACAGCGGGGGGCCCUCCCUGCUGGACGGCAGCUUCCUGGAGAGGCGCGGGGGGCCGCCAGGGACGGGGCGGAGCGAAACCCCGGGCCCGAGACGUCGUCCGAGCGGCGCGGUCCCUUGGAGCGGCCUCGCCGAGAGCAGGUCAGGUCUGGUCGGCCGGCAAGAAGCGGCAGCAGCGGCGACGCGGGCAGACCCAGCAGCUCGGACGACCCCGGCAAGCGGAAGCGCACAGACGUUCGCCUCACCGCGCCUCCCGCAUGCGCUGCCAGCGGCUGCCCCCGGCACCGUUGCCGCCAGGGACAGGUCCCCUGGCCAGGAGCGAGACGUGGAGCGGCUGGGGAGGAGCCGGAGGGAGACGGCGCUGGAGAGCGUGCUCGCGGACCGGCUGCUGGCCUCGACGCAGAGCAAGGAGCGGGCGCUGCGCUUGGAGGCGGAGCUCGAUUCCAAGGGCAAGGAGCUGAGGGCCCAGAGGGAGGAGCAAACAAGGCUGGAGGUGGAGAUGAGGGCGAAGGGAGAGAACCUCAGGGCACAGAGGGAAGAUCACGCCCGGCUCGAGGUGGAGCUGGCGAGGGCCAAAGAGGAGCAGGGCAGGUUGAGAUCAGAGCUCGGCGCGCUGAGAGACGAGAACAAGGUGAUUGGCGUGGAGCUACAAGACAGGGGAGCGGUGAUCCAGGAGAAGGAGGUGGAGCUGCAGGACAAGAGGACGGAGCUGCAGGCGAAGGCGGAUGAGCUUGCGCGCGCGCAGCUGCAGCAGGGGAGGGAGACCGCAGCGGUGCGGAGGUGGGCGGAAUCAGAGGUGAAGAGGGUGUCGGAGGAGUCGAGGGACAAGGACGCUGUCCUGGCUCGCCUGCAGGCUGAGCUGACGAUGCUGCGCGCACAACAGGAGAGGGAGCUGGAGGAGAGGGAGAGGGAGCUGGCCAGGACACGAGCGGCGCACGCCAGGGAGGUGGAGCGGCUGAGGGAGGACGAGGUGAGGCGCCUCGCUGGCACCGUGGAGAGCCUCGCCCUGGAGAAGGAGGGAGCUCUAAAGAAGCAAAGAGAUGAACUCGUGAGGCUGAAAACCGAGGAGCUGGAGCAGCUGUCGGAGCGGCUGGAGGAGGAGAGGAGCCGAGCGUUGGCGGACCUCGCCGAUCGCCACACGGCAGAGUUCGUGCACUGCGCGCAAACCGUGAAGGCGAGGGAGGAGGAGGUGUGCCAGCUGAGGGCUGCCCUCAGGGAGCAGGAGGCUGCUGCCCUCAAACUGAGUGCUCGGCUCAGAGAGGAAGCCACUGAGAUGGCGCAGCGAGCGGUUGGCACGGAGCGCGCCGCUUGGGAGAUGGAGCGGCAACGGGAGCGGGUGGCGCGGCAGGAGGAGGGGGCGAUGGCCGUGCGAGCCCUCGCGCUGGACCUGGAGUCUGAGCGACAGGCGACGCGUGGAUUGCGGGAGGUGACUUCGCAGCUGACCCAGGAGGUGGAGGAGCUGCGGACCCAGGCACGGCAGUUGCAGGCCGAGCGGCUGUCGGCUGUGUGCGCCGUGGAGCAGUCAUGCCGGCACGAGCGGCAAGAGGCCCUGCAGGCCCUGCGCGCCCACCUGCAGGCCGAGAAGGAGCGCGAAGUCGAAAUGCUCACAGCCAAGGGGGCGGCGUUGGAGCAGGAGCUGCUUGCCGCGCAGGCGGCGAGGAAGAGGCUGCAGAAGGAAGUCCAGGCCGAGAAGCAUCGCCUCCUGAGAGGCCUCCAGGAGACGAUCGCGAAGCAGCAGUGGGCGCAAGACGAGCUGCAGGCUGCGGAGCAGAGCAAGCGGCAGGCGGAGAGGGAAUGGGGCGGCGAGAAGCUCCAGCUGGAGAAGAGGAUCCACGCGAGAGACUCGGAGCUGCACAGAGCGGAGAAGGAGCUACGCGCGCUGAGCGCGGAGGCGUCGGCGAAGGAGAAGGCGGGGGACGAGGAGCGCCAGAGGCUCGUGGCGGAGCUGCAGGAAGCGCAGGUGAAAAACCAGAGGCUGGAGAAGAGGCUCAACGACAAGGUGCUUGGCGCGCAGAGAAUGGAGGAGGAACUCAACGAGAGGGACAGAGAAUGUCAGAAGACGAUGGCGGACCUGCAGGCAUCCGGCCUGGAGAUGCAGAGGAUGCAGAAGGAUCUGCGGGAGCGAGACACGGAGAGGCAGAGGAUCGAGAUGGAGCUUCACCAAAAGGAGAUCGCCUUGCUGAGGCAAGAGAAAGAGCUUCGCCAGAGGGACAUUGAGAAACAGACGUGGGAGGAGAGCCUGCACUCGGCCCAACAGGAGGUACAGAGGCUGAGACAGGAGCUCAAAAACGGAGAGAGUGAGAGGCUGCGUUUGCAGGUGGAGCUUCGCGAGGGAGAGACGGAGAGCCAGAGGCUGGGAGCAGAGUUGCGUGCGUUGAGCUCCGAGUUUGCGGACAGACAGAGCGAGAUGAGCGAGCAGGCUGAGCGGCAGGAUCAAAGUCUGGCGACCGAGCUCGCUUCUGAGAUCGAGAAGAUUCAAGAGCUGAUAGAGAGCACAGGCAGCAGGAGCGUUCCCAGGAGCCCUGCCAAAGCCACACACAGCGGGGCGCGGCUGCCCGCGGGCCAGGCGCUGCAGGGCCUGCGCGAGGUGGGGGACGACCUGCGGCACCACGUGCUGCAACUGCAGCAGCAGCUGAGCGACCGCACGCGGCAGGCGCAGCAGCUGCAAGUCGCCAAGGAGAAGGAGCUGAAUGAGGUGAGGGAGCGACUGGAGCGGGAAAAGGCAGCCGCCGUGGAGGAGGUCAAGGAGAGGUUGAUUCAGGAUCACAACGAAGAGCUGCACAUUCUCAAAAUCUCCAGCAUCCAGGGCCCGCAUCAGCAGCGCGAUCUGAGCUGGCGAGGCGCUCCACCAAAGUACGCAGCUCGGGAGAACAGCGGCAGCGCUGGGCACCCGUGCGGCCAACGACGUGACGGCUUCGACCUUGAGGCUUUUUCCAGGGAGGGCCUCGAGCGGGAUGGUGAAAACGGCUACACGGUGGGCCAGGGCGGCUCGUGUGAGCUCCAGAACGAGGUGCGCCAGCUGCGAGAGCAGAUGCGCGAGAAAGACAGCGAGCUGCGCUCUGUCCAGCGCGGGAUGCGGCAGUGGAAAGAAAGCACGGCCGGCAAGCUGGCGCGCAAGUUCCAGGAGGAGCUGCACGCGGAGCUACUGCGGCGAAGCAAUCACCAGGAACAUUACACAAUGGACAGCUCCCGGACAGCACACAUUGAAUGCAGCGCAUUGCCACGACGGCACCGCUCCUCCUCCGUGCCGGCUCGAGCUGCCCUUGCGGACACGGGCGAUGGCAUGGGGUUGGCGGGGCCCGACACGGGCAACGGCGACAUAGGGGGCAGCGACGCGGGCAUGGGGCACAGCGCUGGAACCCUGCGCCUCCUCCACCACCUCCACGGCAAAAUCCGGCAACUCAAGGUGACCGCACCGACUGGCGGCGGGGGGGCCCUACGGCAGAGCCCUCAAUGAUAGAGCUUCCGCGCACUUCGGGGAACCAGGAUCCAGAAGGUUUUCCGCGCGAACCUCGAGCCUUGAGGAGCUCACAAAGCCACUCCACGGCAGCCCUCCGGCACGGCGCACAGCAGAGACUGCGGAGACUUCUGCGGGCGCACAGAGGGUGCCCGUGCGUGCUCGACACGGGCCCUACACGCUCUCCUGACACGGGCUCCCCUGUGAAACGUGCUGGCAGCAAUAGCAGCAGCAGCAGCAGCUAAAAUCAGAAGUGUUGCUGUAAUCGGGAGCACGGCUGUCAAUGUUUGCUCCCCCGGCUCGCAAGCCGCAGUGAAAAGGGAGGUCUUUAUGCAUUUCAGGUGAAGAAAAAAAACACAUACAUAGCAACGUCUCAUUGCUCACAACCAGACUUUAAUUGCUUGUUUCUUAAACAAAAAAAACCUAUUUUACCGCACACCACCCCCCCCCCCCGUCUUUGAUUAAGGCAGCAAGAUUAUGUUUUUUUUUAUUUUCCCAAGUGGAGGUAGGGUCUGCGGGCUGUAGGGCAGUUCAUGGAUAUGAACACCUUGUCAAAAAAAAUGAAUCGGCUGUCUAUCGAGAAUAGAAGGUUUUUUUUUGGAUUGAGGGAACCGGGUUAAAAAUAGAUUUUGUUCCAUGAAUCAAAAAAACCGGGUCCUCUGUCCAGCAGAGGGUGCUUUGCUGCUGAUUUGCGGGUUUGCGUGCCUUUUGUGUUGUUAGCGUUCGUGUGUGCAUCAGCAAAGUGACUGACCGUCCUUUCCCUCUGAAAUUUGGCAAAAAAAAACCCCAAUAUAUACCACCGACUGUUAGCAUUAAACAUUCCACGCUUAUAUAAUAAACAAUUGCGGCGUUAAGCUGUAAAGGAAACUGAUAACGCUGGAAUGAGCUCAGCACCCAAGGCGCGGUUUGCCAAAGUUGGAGGGAAAUUAAAUCCGGAAACAGGAACCCUGUUUGUCUGGAAACGGGCCGAUGAGUCACAGUAAGGCCUAGUCACCAGUGGUCUCUGCUAAGCAUUCACUUGCAUUGCCUUUGGUCUUGCAGUGUGCUCUCCAUUUUAAUGUUUUGUUUUUUUAAUACAUAGUUUCUGUUGGCAUUUCACAAUGUGUGGAAGUUGCUUGUGUGCAACGUACAGUGUACCUCUUUUGAAUCUCGUUGGUAUUAUCUGAUGUGCCAUUAAGUGUGGUGUGUUAAUUAUUGAAAGCGAAUGGAGUUUUUUUUUAAAUUCAAAUUUACUAUAAUUUGUUGAUGCAGUUUAACCAUUUUAUAUAUUCAUAAUUAGAUUGCUGUGGUUAUUUAAAAAAAUAUAAAGGUAUGUGUUUCUUAAUGCAUUGCUUUACAUAAAAAGACAUGGUCACAUAUUGCUAUCAUAUAUAUUUUAACUACAAUAUAAACUAAAACAUUUGCAAUCCCUGCAAAUCUUUGAAAUAACAGCAACAACCGCCGUUUAUCACCGAGUGUGAGCCAGGCUAGGUUCACAGUGAGACCACGUGGAGCGUGGAAGGUUCUCUGCUGGGACAGACACCAGGUGUUGUUAUGGGUUAACUGAAUGGUAAAUGCCAACUCCUGCACACUCUACAGAAGUGUGACAACUAGCUGUUUUAUCAGCCUGUUCAUGUAAUGAUUCCUUGCAUAACUGACGCUAUGUGCGCUAUAAACGUUGUACUGUCGAUUGUAAGGUUGCAAAGAUUAGAAGACCACUGGCACGCUUAUCUCGAGUGAACUGGACGCCCAGGGUAAUUAUUGGUUACUCUUCA